UACGGAGGGUGCAAGCGUUAUCCGGAUUCACUGGGUUUAAAGGGUGCGUAGGUGGGUUGGUAAGUCAGUGGUGAAAUCUCCAGGCUUAACUUGGAAACUGCCAUUGAUACUAUCAAUCUUGAAUGCCGUGGAGGUCAGCGGAAUAUGUCAUGUAGCGGUGAAAUGCUUAGAUAUGACAUAGAACACCAAUUGCGAAGGCAGCUGGCUACACAAAUAUUGACACUGAGGCACGAAAGCGUGGGGAUCAAACAGG
rnacentral:rRNA from 1 species